rnacentral:lncRNA from 1 species
UAUGUUAAAUCUGCCAGAACUGAGGAAUGUUCUCUAGCAUCAGGUGGCAUCGACUUUCACCCUCUUCUGCAACAAGUUGAUGGAGGAAAGAGUAACUCUGUAGUGCCUCCCUCUAAUAUCUACCAAUCUGUUUCCCUGGGUGACAAACCUCGGCAAUAUCCCUCUAAUAUCUACCAAUCUGUUUCCCUGGGUGACAAACCUCGGCAAUAUCCCUCUAAUAUCUACCAAUCUGUUUCCCUGGGUGACAAACCUCGGCAAUAUCCCUCUAAUAUCUACCAAUCUGUUUCCCUGGGUGACAAACCUCGGCAAUAUCCCUCUAAUAUCUACCAAUCUGUUUCCCUGGGUGACAAACCUCGGCAAUAUCCCUCUAAUAUCUACCAAUCUGUUUCCCUGGGUGACAAACCUCGGCAAUAUCCCUCUAAUAUCUACCAAUCUGUUUCCCUGGGUGACAAACCUCGGCAAUAUCCCUCUAAUAUCUACCAAUCUGUUUCCCUGGGUGACAAACCUCGGCAAUAUCCCUCUAAUAUCUACCAAUCUGUUUCCCUGGGUGACAAACCUCGGCAAUAUCCCUCUAAUAUCUACCAAUCUGUUUCCCUGGGUGACAAACCUCGGCAAUAUCCCUCUAAUAUCUACCAAUCUGUUUCCCUGGGUGACAAACCUCGGCAAUAUCCCUCUAAUAUCUACCAAUCUGUUUCCCUGGGUGACAAAACUCAGCAAUAUCCGUAUCCUGGUGUUGUUGCCCAGAAUACCACGGCAUCUAAAGUGAUUAGCCAGAUUGUUCAAGCUAAUGAAUUGGACCUUGAG